UCCCUGGUGGCUCAGAUGGUAAAGCGUCUGCCUACAAUGCGGACACCCAGGUUUGAUCCCUGGGUUGGGAA
rnacentral:tRNA from 1 species